UACGUAGGGUGCGAGCGUUGUCCGGAAUUAUUGGGCGUAAAGAGCUCGUAGGCGGUCCGUCGCGUCGAAUGUGAAAACCCGGGGCUCAACCCCGGGCCUGCAUUCGAUACGGGCAGACUAGAGUUCGGUAGGGGAGUCUGGAAUUCCUGGUGUAGCGGUGAAAUGCGCAGAUAUCAGGAGGAACACCGGUGGCGAAGGCGGGACUCUGGGCCGAUACUGACGCUGAGGAGCGAAAGCGUGGGGAGCAAACAGG
rnacentral:rRNA from 1 species